CAGGAUGAGAAUGGAGCCAUUAGAACACAGAAAAAAGUGUGCAGGGGCCAGCAAGAUGGCACAGCAGGUUCUGGCUAUGACCAACAAUGCUGCUAUGAACAUAGUUGAGCACGUGUCCUUGUGGUACGAUUGAGCAUUCUUUGGGUACAUACCCAAAAGUGGUACUGCUGGAUCUUGAGUUGUGACUAACUGGGCAAAGAAUGCUGCACUGUUCAAGAAAAAGGAACCAACCAGAGUUUCUCUCCAGAUGUUUGGAAUUGUGAGUAUGCAGCAGCAUGCAUGGGAUGGGGAGCACAUCAGGUAGGUAUGCUGU